rnacentral:rRNA from 1 species
AACGAACGCUGGCGGCAGGCUUAACACAUGCAAGUCGAACGCCCCGCAAGGGGAGUGGCAGACGGGUGAGUAACGCGUGGGAACGUGCCCUUCGGUUCGGAAUAACUCAGGGAAACUUGAGCUAAUACCGGAUACGUGCGAGAGCAGAAAGAUUUAUCGCCGAAGGAUCGGCCCGCGUCCGAUUAGCUAGUUGGUGAGGUAAUGGCUCACCAAGGCGACGAUCGGUAGCUGGUCUGAGAGGAUGAUCAGCCACAUUGGGACUGAGACACGGCCCAAACUCCUACGGGAGGCAGCAGUGGGGAAUAUUGGACAAUGGGCGCAAGCCUGAUCCAGCCAUGCCGCGUGAGUGAUGAAGGCCUUAGGGUUGUAAAGCUCUUUCGCCAGGGACGAUAAUGACGGUACCUGGAUAAGAAGCCCCGGCUAACUUCGUGCCAGCAGCCGCGGUAAUACGAAGGGGGCUAGCGUUGUUCGGAUUUACUGGGCGUAAAGCGCACGUAGGCGGAUUUUUAAGUCAGGGGUGAAAUCCCGAGGCUCAACCUCGGAACUGCCCUUGAUACUGGAAGUCUCGAGUCCGGGAGAGGUGAGUGGAACUGCGAGUGUAGAGGUGAAAUUCGUAGAUAUUCGCAAGAACACCAGUGGCGAAGGCGGCUCACUGGCCCGGUACUGACGCUGAGGUGCGAAAGCGUGGGGAGCAAACAGGAUUAGAUACCCUGGUAGUCCACGCCGUAAACGAUGGAUGCUAGCCGUUGGGGAGCUUGCUCUUCAGUGGCGCAGCUAACGCUUUAAGCAUCCCGCCUGGGGAGUACGGUCGCAAGAUUA